rnacentral:rRNA from 1 species
ACACAUGCAAGUCGAACGGUAACAGGAAGCAGCUUGCUGCUUUGCUGACGAGUGGCGGACGGGUGAGUAAUGUCUGGGAAACUGCCUGAUGGAGGGGGAUAACUACUGGAAACGGUAGCUAAUACCGCAUAACGUCGCAAGACCAAAGAGGGGGACCUUCGGGCCUCUUGCCAUCGGAUGUGCCCAGAUGGGAUUAGCUAGUAGGUGGGGUAACGGCUCACCUAGGCGACGAUCCCUAGCUGGUCUGAGAGGAUGACCAGCCACACUGGAACUGAGACACGGUCCAGACUCCUACGGGAGGCAGCAGUGGGGAAUAUUGCACAAUGGGCGCAAGCCUGAUGCAGCCAUGCCGCGUGUAUGAAGAAGGCCUUCGGGUUGUAAAGUACUUUCAGCGGGGAGGAAGGCGAUAAGGUUAAUAACCUUGUCGAUUGACGUUACCCGCAGAAGAAGCACCGGCUAACUCCGUGCCAGCAGCCGCGGUAAUACGGAGGGUGCAAGCGUUAAUCGGAAUUACUGGGCGUAAAGCGCACGCAGGCGGUCUGUCAAGUCGGAUGUGAAAUCCCCGGGCUCAACCUGGGAACUGCAUUCGAAACUGGCAGGCUAGAGUCUUGUAGAGGGGGGUAGAAUUCCAGGUGUAGCGGUGAAAUGCGUAGAGAUCUGGAGGAAUACCGGUGGCGAAGGCGGCCCCCUGGACAAAGACUGACGCUCAGGUGCGAAA